GCUUGUCUCAAAGAUUAAGCCAUGCAUGUCUAAGUAUAAGCAACUAUACUGUGAAACUGCGAAUGGCUCAUUAUAUCAGUUAUAGUUUAUUUGAUGGUCCUUUACUACUUGGAUAACCGUAGUAAUUCUAGAGCUAAUACAUGCAGCAAACCUUGACGUAAGAAGAGGUGUAUUUAUUAGAUAGAAACCAAUGCGGGGCAACCCGGAUCCUGGUGAUUCAUAAUAACUUUCGGAUCGAUGAAAAUCGAUGCAUCAUUCAAGUUUCUGCCCUAUCAGCUUUGGAUGGUAGGGUAUUGGCCUACCAUGGCUUUAACGGGUAACGGAGAAUUAGGGUUCGAUUCCGGAGAGGGAGCCUGAGAAACGGCUACCACAUCUAAGGAAGGCAGCAGG
rnacentral:rRNA from 1 species